GAUGGAUGCUACCAAUUUCCUACUUUGCUGCUUCAAAGCCAUAGGCAUUUCUUCAAAGUCAAGCACUCAAAGUUAUGCUAAUCUUUAUUGGCAAGAGAAACAGUAGCUGGAGCGAAAAAGUUUUGCUGGAGCGAAAGAGAAUGCCACAUGAAAAUGAACAUCAUGCAGAGCGUGAGAAGUUUCUGCAAUAGCUGGAACUGGAGCAGCUUUGUCAGCGUGCUGUCCCUGGAGCAUGGAAGCUCAUUCCCUUUUCAUACAGCAGCUGCUUCCUACAGGACAACUUUAAGGCUGCACACAUUACAAAGAUGUAUUGAAAGUGACAAUGGCUGGAUGUGCUUCAAGUAUGUGUGAAAAGAACCCUACCAGCCCUGAAAGUACCUG
rnacentral:lncRNA from 14 species